rnacentral:lncRNA from 1 species
GGCCGAGAUCAAGUCACUCCGCCGGCUCCCCCCAGUUUCCGCCACCUUCUUCAUCGUUGCUCACUUGCUCCCAUCUUCUUCGGUUCUUCCCCCGAAGGCAUAUAGGAGCCCCUGUCAUGUGGAUUCGCAUCUGGAUUCUGGAGACCCACGGGAAGUAGGAUGAGGAGGAGCUGGUCGUGAAGGAGGAAGGGCAAUCCGGGUCAGGCAGCAAGGCAGAAGCAAGAGGCUGCGGCCAAUGCAGCCGACUUAGCCGUGUGCGCGGAAUGCUGCCUUUGCUUUGUCCAUUCCUACCUCAUGCCAUGUGUUUGAUCAAAUGCGUGUGAGUAUUGGCAUUGCUACUAAUUGGCACUCCCAUCAUUGUUUCUUUACAAGGACGUUUUCCAUGUAAGGUUGCAUUUCCACCUCCAUGGUAGUGUCGUUUUUCUACAUUGCGAAUGAUAUUAGUGUAUAACAAUGUUUUACCUUCUACAUCUCUUUGUAUUUCAUUACUCUCCAUUGUCAUAUGCCACCUAGAGCAAUGGAUUUAUAGUACAGAAUUCGUUAGCAGUUGCUUGUUACAUAGACUUCCUUUCCUUGAUUAGCCCAAAAUCUGCAUCAACAUCAGUACUGUAUACCUUGUUCAUUCUGCAGUAAGCAGGCGAGCAGCUCAGGUC